GAUGAACGCUGGCGGCGUGCCUAAUACAUGCAAGUCGAGCGAACAGACGAGGAGCUUGCUCCUCUGACGUUAGCGGCGGACGGGUGAGUAACACGUGGAUAACCUACCUAUAAGACUGGGAUAACUUCGGGAAACCGGAGCUAAUACCGGAUAAUAUAUUGAACCGCAUGGUUCAAUAGUGAAAGACGGUUUUGCUGUCACUUAUAGAUGGAUCCGCGCCGCAUUAGCUAGUUGGUAAGGUAACGGCUUACCAAGGCAACGAUGCGUAGCCGACCUGAGAGGGUGAUCGGCCACACUGGAACUGAGACACGAUCCAGACUCCUACGGGAGGCAGCAGUAGGGAAUCUUCCGCAGUGGGCGAAAGCCUGACGGAGCAACGCCGCGUGAGUGAUGAAGGUCUUCGGAUCGUAAAACUCUGUUAUUAGGGAAGAACAAAUGUGUAAGUAACUAUGCACGUCUUGACGGUACCUAAUCAGAAAGCCACGGCUAACUACGU
rnacentral:rRNA from 1 species